GGGUGAGUAAUGUAUCGGAACGUACCUUUCAGUGGGGGAUAACGUAGCGAAAGUUACGCUAAUACCGCAUAUUCUGUGAGCAGGAAAGCAGGGGAUCGCAAGACCUUGCGCUGAUUGAGCGGCCGAUAUCAGAUUAGCUAGUUGGUGAGGUAAAGGCUCACCAAGGCGACGAUCUGUAGCGGGUCUGAGAGGAUGAUCCGCCACACUGGAGCUGAGACACGGUCCAGACUCCUACGGGAGGCAGCAGUGGGGAAUUUUGGACAAUGGGGGCAACCCUGAUCCAGCCAUGCCGCGUGAGUGAAGAAGGCCUUCGGGUUGUAAAGCUCUUUCGGCCGGGAAGAAAUCGCAUGGGUUAAUACCCUGUGCGGAUGACGGUACCGGCAUAAGAAGCACCGGCUAACUACGUGCCAGCAGCCGCGGUAAUACGUAGGGUGCGAGCGUUAAUCGGAAUUACUGGGCGUAAAGCGUGCGCAGGCGGUUUUUUAAGACAGGCGUGAAAUCCCCGGGCUCAACCUGAGAACUGCGCUUGUGACUGGAAGGCUGGAGUAUGGCAGAGGGGGGUGGAAUUCCACGUGUAGCAGUGAAAUGCGUAGAGAUGUGGAGGAACACCAAUGGCGAAGGCAGCCCCCUGGGCCAAUACUGACGCUCAUGCACGAAAGCGUGGGUAGCAAACAGGAUUAGAUACCCUGGUAGUCCACGCCCUAAACGAUGUCAACUAGGUGUUGGGUGGGUAAAACCAUUUAGUACCGGAGCUAACGCGUGAAGUUGACCGCCUGGGGAGUACGGCCGCAAGGUUAAAACUCAAAGGAAUUGACGGGGACCUGCACAAGCGGUGGAUGAUGUGGAUUAAUUCGAUGCAACGCAAAAAACCUUACCUACCCUUGACAUGUCCAGGAGCCUGAAGAGAUUUGGGUGUGCCCGAAAGGGAACUGGAACACAGGUGCUGCAUGGCUGUCGUCAGCUCGUGUCGUGAGAUGUUGGGUUAAGUCCCGCAACGAGCGCAACCCUUGUCGUUAAUUGCCAUCAUUUAGUUGGGCACUUUAACGAGACUGCCGGUGACAAACCGGAGGAAGGUGGGGAUGACGUCAAGUCCUCAUGGCCCUUAUGGGUAGGGCUUCACACGUCAUACAAUGGUCGGUACAAAGGGUUGCCAAGCCGCGAGGUGGAGCCAAUCCCAGAAAGCCGAUAGUAGUCCGGAUCGCAGGCUGCAACUCGCCUGCGUGAAGUCGGAAUCGCUAGUAAUCGUGGAUCAGCAUGUCACGGUGAAUACGUUCCCGGGUCUUGUACACACCGCCCGUCACACCAUGGGAGCGGGUUCCGCCAGAAGUAGGUAGCCUAACCGCAAGGAGGGCGCUUACCACGGCGGGGUUCGUGACUGGGGUGAAGUCGGAACAAGGUA
rnacentral:rRNA from 1 species